GAUGUCCCACCCCUUUUUGCUCUUUUUAAAACACAGCCUUAUCUGCUGGUGGCAUAUUUUGGAACACCAGAUCAUCCAGACUUAACUUGGAAACACAUCCAUGAUGAAGAAGGCAGUGCUCGUGUGUUUUGCCCUGAUUGUGGUCAUUUCCGUGACCAAUGCCGCUGAAUGCAUAAGACAGAAGCAGAGCUUGGUGGCUUGUUAUGAUGCUGUAGAUAAGAAAACGUACGCAAAGGGAGUGAGAUGGAUUAACAGCGCAUGCCAGUUUUGCAAAUGCGACUUUGGAACUUCCGUCUGCUGUCCAGGAAUACGAGAUGGAUCCGGACAGUGCCAGCGUGUGAGCUGAGCGUGCCAGCAUGAGAAAAUGAAUCUGGAGAAUUACAGUGACAGAUCGGAGUCACUGUGUGGAUAAAUUUCGAUUAAUCAAUUAACAAUAAAGCAUUACUGAAGCAUUCAA